rnacentral:rRNA from 1 species
UACGGAGGGUGCAAGCGUUGUUCGGAUUUAUUGGGCGUAAAGCGCGUGUAGGCGGUUUCUUAAGUCUGAUGUGAAAGCCCUGGGCUCAACUCAGGAAGUGCAUUGGAUACUGGGAGACUUGAAUACGGGAGAGGGUAGUGGAAUUCCUAGUGUAGGAGUGAAAUCCGUAGAUAUUAGGAGGAACACCGGUGGCGAAGGCGGCUACCUGGACCGAUAUUGACGCUGAGACGCGAAAGCGUGGGGAGCAAACAGG